UACGGAGGGAGCUAGCGUUAUUCGGAAUUACUGGGCGUAAAGCGCACGUAGGCGGCUAUUCAAGUCAGAGGUGAAAGCCCAGGGCUCAACCCUGGAACUGCCUUUGAAACUAGAUAGCUAGAAUCUUGGAGAGGCGAGUGGAAUUCCGAGUGUAGAGGUGAAAUUCGUAGAUAUUCGGAAGAACACCAGUGGCGAAGGCGACUCGCUGGACAAGUAUUGACGCUGAGGUGCGAAAGCGUGGGGAGCAAACAGGG
rnacentral:rRNA from 1 species